rnacentral:rRNA from 1 species
UACGUAGGGUGCAAGCGUUAAUCGGAAUUACUGGGCGUAAAGCGUGCGCAGGCGGUUCUAUAAGACAGAUGUGAAAUCCCCGGGCUCAACCUGGGAACUGCAUUUGUGACUGUAGAGCUGGAGUGCGGCAGAGGGGGAUGGAAUUCCGCGUGUAGCAGUGAAAUACGUAGAUAUGCGGAGGAACACCGAUGGCGAAGGCAAUCCCCUGGGCCUGCACUGACGCUCAUGCACGAAAGCGUGGGGAGCAAACAGG